rnacentral:rRNA from 1 species
AUUGAACGCUGGCGGCAGGCUUAACACAUGCAAGUCGAGCGAGCGGCGGACGGGUGAGUAAUGUCUGGGAAACUGCCUGAUGGAGGGGGAACACUACUGGAAACGGUAGCUAAUACCGCAUACCAUCAGAUGUGCCCAGAUGGGAUUAGCUUGUGGGUGGGGUAAUGGCUCACCUAGGCGACGCGCCCUAGCUGGUCGGAGAGGAAGACCAGCCAAACUGGACCGGAGACACGGUCCAGACUCCUACGGGAGGCAGCAGUGGGGAAUAUUGCACAAUGGGCGCAAGCCUGAGGCAGCCAUGCCGCGUGUGUGAAGAAGGCCUUCGGGUUGUAAAGUACUUUCAGCGAGGAGGCGUUACUCGCAGAAGAAGCACCGGCUAACUCCGUGCCAGCAGCCGCGGUAAUUC